rnacentral:rRNA from 1 species
UACGGAGGGUGCAAGCGUUAAUCGGAAUCACUGGGCGUAAAGCGCGCGUAGGCGGCUUUGUAAGUCAGAGGUGAAAUCCCACGGCUCAACCGUGGAACUGCCUUUGAUACUGCAAGGCUACGAGUUUGUGAGAGGAUAGUGGAAUUCCUGGUGUAGUAGUGAAAUCCGUAGAGAUCAGGAGGAACAUCAGUGGCGAAGGCGACUGUCUGGCACAACACUGACGCUGAGGUGCGAAAGCGUGGGUAUCAAACAGG